ensembl:lncRNA
AUGAUGUCAUUAUGCUGUUCUGAAAAUAGUUGUUUUUUCCAGUACUACCAUAUAAGUUUCACAAUGUAUACAACAAUACAACAACUUGAAGAUAGUCUCUCUCUUUUUCUUUGUUCCCUUAUUUUAUUUUUUAUUUACAUAUUAGAGUUUUCUUUCAUUAUUAUUUUUUCUUUCCAGGUAAAAGACAUGUCUGAUCCAGUCUGCCAGAUAGUCAAUAUCUCAGGUUACUGCCCUGCCGAUAUUCUCCUUUGUGGGAAAGUCCAGUGGAAGAUCAGUGCCAAUCUCACAUAUGGAAUCAAUGGGACUGGAAUUACUACCAUCAUUCUACGACAAGGAAAUGUUACUCUCAGUACCAGCACUGUGGCUGGAGAAGGGGGUGAGAAUAUCACCAUAGUUACCUACAACUCAUCCUGCUGUUCACGGACUGUGCAGCUGGUUGCUAUAGAUGCAGUGGGAAAUGUGGGUGAAUGUUUCGUACAGGCCAGAGCAUUUACUACACCUGUAACUACACCAAUGUUUGAGACUUACACUACCCCUGUAAAUUCAUCCAUACAUGUGACCAACACCACUUAUGUAACAACACCCAUAAAUGAGACCAAAACCAUCCAUGUAACUUCACCCAUAAAUGUGAAAAACAAUACCCCUGUAACUACAUCCAUAAAUGUGACAAACACCACUUAUGCAACUACACCCUUAAAUGUGACCAACACCUCCCAUAUAACAACACCCACGCAUGUGACCAACACUACCCCUGUAACUAUACCCAUAGAUGUGACCAAUACUACCCCUGUAACUACACCCGCACAUGUGACAAUCACUACCCCUAUAACCACACCCAUACAUGUGACAAACACCACCUAUGUAACUACACCCAUAAAUGUGACCAACAAUACCCCUGAAACUACAUCCAUAUAUGUGACAAACAGCACCCAUGUAACUACAACCUUAAAUGUGACCAACACCUCCCAUAUAACAACACCCACGCAUGUGACCAAUGCCACCCCUGUAACUACACCCGCACAUGUGACAAUCACUACCCCUAUAACCACACCCAUACAUGGGGCCAGCACUACCUAUGUAACUACAUCCAUAAAUGUGACCAAAACCACCUAUGUAACCACACCCAUAUAUGUGACAAACACCACCUAUGUAACUACACCCAUAAAUGUGACGAACACUACCCCUGUAACUACUCCUGCACAUGUGACAAACACCACCUAUGUAACUACACCCAUAAAUGGGACCAACAAUAACCCUGUAACUACAUCCAUAUAUGUGACAAACACCACCUAUGUAACUACACCCUUAAAUGUGACCAACACCUCCCAUAUGACAACACCCACACAUGUGACCAACACUACCCAUGUAACUACACCCAUACACGGGAAGAACACUACCUAUUUAACUACACCCAUACACGUGACAAACAAUACCCCUGUAACAACACCUACAAAUGUGACCAACACUACACCCAUUAAAACAACUGUACUUGUGACCAACACUACCACUGUAACUACACCCAUACACAUGAACCACACUACCUAUGUAACGACACCCAUACAUGUGACAAACACUACCACUGUAACUACACCCAUACACGUGAACCACACUACCUAUGUAACAACACCCAUACAUGUGACAAACACUAGCCCUGUAACUAGACCUGUAAAUGUGAAAAACACUAACUAUGUAACUACACCCAUACAUGAAACAAACACAACCCCUGUAACUACACCCAUACACGUGAACCACACUACCUAUGUAACAACACCCAUACAUGUGACAAACACUAGCACUGUAACUAGACCUAUAAAUGUGAACAACACUAACAAUGUAACUACAACCAUACAUGUAACAAACACAACCCCUGUAACUACACCUAUAAAUGUGACCAACACAACACCCAUGAAAACACUCAUACAUGUGACCAACACUACACCUGUAACUACAUCCAUAAAUGUGACCAAAACCACCUAUGUAACCACACCCAUAUAUGUGACAAACACCACCUAUGUAACUACACCCAUAAAUGUGACGAACACUACCCCUGUAACUACUCCUGCACAUGUGACAAACACCACCUAUGUAACUACACCCAUAAAUGGGACCAACAAUAACCCUGUAACUACAUCCAUAUAUGUGACAAACACCACCUAUGUAACUACACCCUUAAAUGUGACCAACACCUCCCAUAUGACAACACCCACACAUGUGACCAACACUACCCAUGUAACUACACCCAUACACGUGAAGAACACUACCUAUGUAACUACACACAUACACGUGACAAACAAUACCCCUGUAACAACACCUACAAAUGUGACCAACACUACACCCAUUAAAACAACUGUACUUGUGACCAACACUACCAAUGUAACUACACCCAUACACAUGAACCACACUACCUAUGUAACGACACCCAUACAUGUGACAAACACUACCACUGUAACUACACACAUACACGUGAACCACACUACCUAUGUAACAACACCCAUACAAGUGACAAACACUAGCCCUGUAACUAGACCUAUAAAUGUGAAAAACACUAACUAUGUAACUUCACCCAUACAUGUAACAAACACAACCCCUGUAACUACACCCAUACACGUGAACCACACUACCCAUGUAACAACACCCAUACAUGUGACAAACACUAGCACUGUAACUAGACCUAUAAAUGUGAACAACACUAACAAUGUAACUACAACCAUACAUGUAACAAACACAACCCCUGUAACUACACCUAUAAAUGUGACCAACACAACACCCAUGAAAACACCCAUACAUGUGACCAACACUACCCCUGUAACUACACCCAUACACGUGAGGAACACUACCUAUGUAACUACACCCAUACAUGUGACCAACACUACCUUUGUAACUACACCAGCACAAUUAACAAGCACUACACCGGUAACUAAACCCAUAUUUGUGACCAGUACUACCCCUGUAACUACAACCAUACAUGUGACCAGUUCUACCCCGGUAACUACACCCAUACUAAUGACCAGUACUACCCCUGUAACUACACCCAUUCAUGUGAACGGCACUACCCCUGUAACUACACCCAUACUAAUGACCAGUACUACACCUGUGACUACACCCAUUCACGUGACCAGUACUGCCCCUGUAACUACACCCAUACAUGUGACCAGUACUACCCCUGUAACUACAGCCAUACAUGUGAACAGUACUACCUCUGUAACUACACCCAUACAUGUGACCAGUACUGCCCCUGUAACUACACCCAUAUAUAUGACCAACACUACACGUGUAACCAAUAGUACACUUGCACCCACACUCAGUGUGUCAUUGUCACUUUGUAUCACAGCUGUGAUUUUUCUCCUUUGGAAGUAA